UACGCCCAGAUGUACCGCCGUCCCCGUCAAUUUGCAUUCAUCUGGGCCAGGAGGACGUGGACUGCCCUUCCCAAUGCUGAUGUCGUCCGCUCCCCAGCCUACAGGAAGCGCUAUUGAAUUGCGACUCAAUCCGGGCGACUUUCCAUGCUGAUCCAUAGAGAUAGGGAGAUGAUGUGGGUUGCCGUUUUGGAACCAGAGCCUAAGCAAGAGCAUUGCAAGGCGAUAUGGGAGCUCAGAAAGUCGCCAUAAAACUACCGUUUAAGACCAGGUUUACUGCAACUCGCAUGAUGCAGCGUGGCGGUGGCGCGGAGGACCAAGCGGGAAGUGAACCAUCAGCCUUUGAGUUACCUGUCACCCUUGGCAUCGAGAAGAUGAUACCCAAGCCGUCUUACACCACAGGUAUUCAACACAAGUUGCAUGCUUCAUGAUACACACUUAAUAGUUUGUAGCCUGGAGGCUCUUGUGAGGAAGUACAACAACACCCGAGCAAGAUCUCGACCUACUUCAUGUCAACAAUGGUGAAGAUGGGAAACUUGUGGCUGUCGUCCGCGAUGCACAUACAGAUCAGGUUGAUAGGAGCUAUGAGGCUGACUCUCCGACUACUUCCGCCCGUGGAGCUGCUGGGUGCAGUUAUUUCUCGACCGCCUGAUUGACAUCUACGGCAGCUAAGACCUACAAGGCAGCUAGAAUUCUGGGAAGGCCCCAUUUCGCGCCGUGGUUUCGUUACUUUAGUAGACCUUAAAAAGGUGACAACAAAACCUAAACCGAGACUAUGCGCGUGCCAGAAGGUUUUCAGCUAGAGAGUUUGGUGAGACAUGGAAUGGGAGCAGCAGAAGUCGAUGGACGAAAGAUAAAGGAUGGCAAAGACGCUCAGAGGACAAUUGUCGAGGCACAACCGGUAUUGAAGGGGCAAGUAGCAGCAAAACUUAUCAGGUUCUGGUUACCAUGGUGGCUUGGUGUAGAUAUUGGAAGCUAGAACGUAAUUUGCAAUGUCAGACAAAGCUAGAGACCAAUGAAGCGUGUAUCAAAAGAUGAACAUGACACAAAAGAGAGCCUUGAUCGAUGUAAGUGCAAGUUUUGGGACCUUCUUAGCUAAACCCAACUCCGGGUUGUGCAUUCAAGAGCAACUUAGGUUCUUGGAGCUUCCGUACAAUACUUGUCCAUUUAUUAUUUGCUGACUUAGGAUCAUGUUAUGUAAUUUGUGAUUUCCAAGCUUCAAUAUUCAUCUUGUUUUAUUUUUACUUAUUAUUGCGCAGUUUAUAAAGUUAAAUUUGGCUUCCGAA